ACAACUCCCCUCCCGUCGAUAGGUUUCGACUUUUUGAUUUUUUUAGCAAACUGAGGCUUCCUAACAUGUUUUUUUUUUUGCAAAAAUACAUAUAAAACCGGCCAGGCGAAAGCGAAUUACUGUCGUGAGCGACGUAGCCAGGGCCAGAGUAUGGUGGCGCUGCUAUGUCGGAACCUUAAAAUUUGCCAAAAAGUUUUUUCAACACCGAUUUUGGAUUUUUAGGGUAUAUUUGGGUACGUGACAAGUAUUUUAAUUUUUGUAAGAAAAUCAAGAAAUUUGGGGACCAUCAGGAGGCGUAAUAGACAGUACGACAUUUCGAAACACCAAUUCAGGUAAGAAUCCAUCACCCUAUUCCCUGUUAUGGUAAAUUGAGCCUUAAUAAUCGAAUAUCUUG
rnacentral:lncRNA from 1 species